rnacentral:rRNA from 1 species
GAUCCUGGCUCAGAAUCAACGCUGGCGGCGUGCCUCAGACAUGCAAGUCGAACGCGAAAUCUCCCUUCGGGGAGAAAGUAGAGUGGCGCACGGGUGAGUAACACGUAGGUAAUUUGCCUUUGGGUGGGGAAUAACAGCCGGAAACGGCUGCUAAUACCGCAUAAUGCAGCGGCUCGACAUCGAGACAGUUGUUAAAGCGGGGGAUCGCAAGACCUCGCGCCUGAAGAGAAGCCUGCGGCAGAUUAGCUAGUUGGCAGGGUAAUGGCCUACCAAGGCGACGAUCUGUAACCGGCCUGAGAGGGCGGUCGGUCACACUGACACUGACAUACGGGUCAGACUCCUACGGGAGGCAGCAGUCGGGAAUUUUGGGCAAUGGGCGAAAGCCUGACCCAGCAACGCCGCGUGAAGGAUGAAAUCCCUCGGGAUGUAAACUUCGCAAGAAUGGGAAGAAUAAGUGUGGGCUAAUACCCUUCAUGAUGACGGUACCAUUUGUAAGCUCCGGCUAACUUCGUGCCAGCAGCCGCGGUAAUACGAGGGGAGCAAGCGUUGUUCGGAUUUACUGGGCGUAAAGGGCGCGUAGGCGGCCACGACAAGUCACUUGUGAAAUCUCCGGGCUUAACUCGGAACGGUCAAGUGAUACUGUCGGGCUAGAGUACAGAAGGGGCAACUGGAAUUCUCGGUGUAGCGGUG